CACCAGCCUGAGGUUGACCUGGACCCGCAGCUCUCCCAGUAAGGCUGUCUUGCUGAUCUUGCAGGAAGAGUGUGGGUCAGGGCAGCUGGUGCCCAGCAGUGAGGCUCAAGUAUGAAGGGACCAAUGAAGAUCACCGACGUUUUUGGUCAGCCGAUGAAUUUUCUGUGGCAGACAUCUUGAGCAGUAACCUCUCACCUCGACUAGGGAUCCUGGAUGCUGAAGGAGCAUGCUAGGUUCCAGAGUGAUUUGUGAGACAUGCUGAUGCUGGGACAAAGAAUGAUGCUGACAUGAGUUUUCAGAGUACCUUGACAAUGGUGACUGGAAAGCUGUUUUGGACAUAUGUUCCUGACCCACCUUUGCUUGCCUAUAUCCCAGAUUGGACAAGCUGCCUUGCUUAGAGCUUUUAGACCUUG